CCGGUGAAUGUUGCAGCUAAAGUUGUGGCUCUGUAGGAGAAUUCAUUCCUCUCGGUGUGUGUUUUUUUCUUCAUGAGAACAUAUUUUUAUCAAUUGUCUAUGUGAUGAAUGAUUAUUUGUUUAUUUGUUAGAUGUAAUUUAUUCCUUUUGUGGCGUUAAAUUGCAAGCCUUAAUCUUUCACUUGUUUUGAGUUUUCAAUUUAUUCAGAGUUAAUUUUUUUAGAUUUUAUUUUUUUAAAAAUUAUGUAAAUGAUUUUUUUUUUUAUGACAAAAUUGUGUGAGUUGAUUUUUAAAAUGAACGUGGAUUUGUCGAAAUAUAUAUAGAGGAUAUAAAUAAUUUUUGUGUGAACAGGGUAAACUCCACCCUCAAUUACAUAGACUAAUCUCUUGAGUUGAGUGGAAAAUCUGUCCCACAAGAAAUUUAACAAUGUUGCGUUCUCAGAGCUGAAUUCAAACUCAGGACCUCAGGUAAAGUUAGAGAUCCCUUGCAUUCUCAUCGGUUUAUAUGAUGUAUAUAUGUGUUUUCUUAGUUUAAAAAUAAAUGAAAAAAAAAGCUUACAAAAAAAAUUAUUACAAUUUUAUUAAUUUUUUAAGAUGCAGCUUCUUAACUCUAAAAUAUAGUUUUGAAUCAUCUUCUUCCUUUAGUGUCUUUGUAGACAAUGAUCAGCCGUUGAAUUCAUUCAAUUAAUUGGUAGGAUCUUUGAUCUCUCAAAUAAUGGAGGAAUCUAACGUUGACAUCUAGGUGCAUAUACAUUGAGACAAGAGAGGAACAUAUCUUUCAAGAUGCAUGUCAGUUUGAAUAUUUGUGAAAUAUUUCUUCAUGAUGGGUUAAAUUCAAGAAGUGAUAUUUAUUUUAAAAAGCAAGAAGUAUUAUUUUCUUGUCUGUCACUUUAUAUUUAUAAGGAUGACUUAUUUUAAAUUCAAAUUUCUUUUCCAAUACAUAUUUUGGGUUUUUGAAACUCAAUAAUUUGGUUAGUACAAAGAAGAAUAUGGUUUCACUCGUCAACUCAAAAUUUUUAUAGAGAUGUCUUUUAAUUUCUUUGAAAAUUGAAAUGGUGUUCAUUAAAAAUAAUUUUUUUAUUGCAACACCUUAAACCCUAGUAAAUAUAUAACAUAAAAUUCAUUAAUUUUGAAAGAGAUUUACGGUGUAUACAAAUUUCUUUUCAAAAUAGGUUUAGUACUUAACAUCUGCACUUACACAAAAUAGUUACCAAAUAAGACUAUUUAGAUAUAAAAUUAAUCACCAAAUUAAAGUAUAAAAUUAUAAUUGGUCUAAAGAUCAGUACUAGAAAAAAAAAAUACAGAGUAAUUACCUAGAUAGCGAAAGAAAUAAAUAUUACAAAUUGAGCAUGCAUAAUAUAUUUUAAUUAUUAGUGUCUCCAAUUUAAUUUUUACUCCGCUUACCGGAGGAGCAGGGGAAGUCAUAUUUUGAUUAUCAUAAUUGACAAAAGCAGCAUGAGAUUGGUCAAUAGAAGCAACAACUCGAACAAAAGUAGUUGUUCCAUCAUUGAUCUUAUGAAUCCGGAGAUUUGGUCACUCUUUCGGAUCCUAGACAUGUAUCUCUUUUUUUUCUCUUCUAGAGUUUCAGAUUUGUAGUGACUUCCCACAUGACUAUCGAAUUCAUGGGAUGUUGAAAUUACUUUGCCACACAAUAAACAUGGAUCAUACACGUGUGCAAAGUGCAACAAAAGUAAUUUCAACAUCCCAAAAAUUUGCUAGUCAUGUGGCAAGUCACUACAAUUUUGAAACUCAAGAAGAAAGAAAAAAGAGAUACAUGUCUAGGAUCCCAAAGAGAACAAAUCUGCAGAUUCAAAAACUCAAUGUUGGAACAACAACAUUUGUUUCAGUUGUUGUUUCCGUUGAUCAGUUGCAUGCUGCUUCUAUCAAUUAUGAUAAUCAAAAUAUGAGUUCCUCUGCUCCUCUUGUAAGCGAAGUAAAAGUCAAAUUGGAGCUUGCUGAUAAUUAAAAUAUAUUAUGCAAGUUCAAUUUGUAAUAUUUAUUUCUUACAUUAUCUAGAUAAUUACUCUGUAUUUUUUUCCUAAUACUCCUCUUUAGACCAAUUAUAAUUGUAUCCUUUAAUUUGGUGAUUAAUUUUAUAUUAAAAUAGUCUUGUUCGGUAACUAUUUUGUGUAAGUGCGGAUGUUAUGUACUAAGCCUAUUUUUGUAAAGAAAUUUGUAUACAAUAUUUUGAAAUUACCGUGAAUCUCUUUAAAAAUGAAUGAAUUUUAUGUUAUAUUUUUAUUGGGGAUUAAGGUGUUGCAUAAAAAAAAAAAAAAAAAAAUCCUAACAAACACCAUUUAAAUUUUCAAUGAAAUUAAAAAAACCUCUAUAAAAAUUGAGUGGACGAGUGAAAUCAUAUUCUUCUUCGGAAUAAAACCAAACUAUUGAGUUUCACGAACGUAAAAAAUAUAUUGGAAAAGAAAUAUGAAUUUAAAAUAAGUCAUCCAUAUAAUUAUAAAGUGACAGGCAAGAAAAUAAUACUUCAAUGAUUGUUAAAAUAAAUGUCACCUUAGCACCUCUACAGGUAGAAAAUAACUGUUACAUCCAUGUGCCUCAAAGUCACUUGAUAAACUGAUUAGUUGACAUAUAGAUAUGGAGACAAUAAUUAGGACAGAAAAGGAUAUGAUAUUCUAAAUAUUCAAAUCAAAUUGUAAGAUUGUAAAUGAAGGGUUACAACAAAUAUAUCAAAUACUACCUUGAAAUAUAGAGAUCUUCUCUAACCUUUACUACCUUGAUCGACUUAAUAGUUGACUUUUACAUGUUAAGCUAGUAAAUGCAUGAGAGGUUCCAUUCUUCUCAAAUAUUUAUUAUACAUUAAUAGUGUAAAAUUUUUACACAUGCAUCCAAUGAUGUGUUGUCAUUUCAAUAAUAAAUAUGGUCACUCAUGUAUUUUCAUAUUCAUGAACUAAUGUGGCAUGUUCAUAUUUAUUUUGGUUUUAUUUUUUUUCCUUUUUUCUUCUCCGAAAUUACUUGUGUUAUAUUAAUCAACCUACAAAAAUUCAUAAAUAAUAAGAACAAGCUAGUGUUUCAACUACUUGUUUUACUUUUAGAUCUCCUGUAUAGCAUAUAAAUCAAAUAUUAUAUGUGUGACUAAUUCUUAAUAUCAAAUAUAUUUUAUUUUAAUGUCCAAAUAUAUUUUGCUGAAGUUUAUUUGACUAGGUUUUGAUUUCCUUCAAUUUUAUGGCUAUUUUCCCCCUAUUUAUCACAUUCUUCUUCAUGACAGAAGUGUAGAAUAGUUUCUUAUGUGUGUUAUGAAUUUCCUUUGCGUGCAAAAUUUUACGAUAAAUAAUUUAUGUUGUUGCAGAGAUAAAAGGAACAAUGAGUAAAUUACCAAAGAAACAUGACAACCAUGAUAAGAAAAAAGACAAAUCAGAUGAAGAUUCAAGAAAUAAAAAAGUGUCAUCUUCAAAUGCUAGCAAGACCAAGGAUAAAUAACGUCAAAUGAAAUUUUCAAGACCAAAUGAAGAAGAUUCUAGACAGGGGAAGAUCGAGGAGUUUUGUUUCAGGUGUGGCUAAAUUUUAUUCAUAUCAAAAUACUU
rnacentral:lncRNA from 1 species